rnacentral:tRNA from 1 species
GGGAAUGUAGCUCAGUGGUAGAGCAUUUGUCUGUCUGUGAAAAGCUCUAGGUUCAAUCCCUAGCACCA